AAUAAACGCUGGCGGCGUGCCUAACACAUGCAAGUCGAGCGAGAAAACUCUUUCGGGAGUUAGUACAGCGGCAGACGGGUGAGUAACGCGUGAGAAUCUACCCUUUAGUGAGGAAUACCCUCGAGAAAUCGAGGUUAAUACUGCAUACGUCCCUUCGGGGAGAAAGAUGGCCUCUUUGCUAUCGCUGAAGGAUGAGCUUGCGUACUAUUAGCUAGUUGGUGAGGUAAUGGCUCACCAAGGCGAUGAUGGUUAGCCGGCCUGAGAGGGUGUACGGCCACACUGGAACUUAGACACGGUCCAGACUCCUACGGGAGGCUG
rnacentral:rRNA from 1 species